rnacentral:rRNA from 1 species
GACGAACGCUGGCGGCGUGCCUAACACAUGCAAGUCGAACGGAGUGGCGAACGGGGGAGUAACACGUGGGUGAUCUGCCUUGCACUUCGGGAUAAGCUUGGGAAACUGGGUCGAAUACCGGAUAGUGCAAGAUGAGCUCUCGGCCUAUCAGCUUGUUGGUGGGGUAAUGGCCUACCAAGGCGUCGACGGGUAGCCGGCCUGGGAGGGGAUACGGCCACAUUGGGACUAAGAUACGGCCCAGACUCCUACGGGAGGCAGCAGUGGGGAAUAUUGCACAAUGGGCGGAAGCCUGAUGCAGCGGCGCCGCGUGGGGAAUGAAGGCCUUCUGGUUGUAAACUCCUUUCGACAGGGACGCGGUACCUGUAUAAGAAGCACCGGCUAACUACGUGCCAGCAGCCGCGGUAAUUC